UGAAAUGCGAUGUAAACAACCUAGAACAACUAUACAACGCAAACAUACAUUAAAACUAACAAAAUAGUAUAGAAAUUUAAUCUAACUAAUAUUACAAUAUGAUAGCAUGGAAAUAUACUAACCAUUAUCAAACACAUAAAUCACUGAAAAUAAAAGGAAAAAGAGGAAGUACCUUACGUUUGAUAAACAAACCGAAGAAACGCAAGCAAAAGCAAAGAAGGAUUGUUUGAAUGCUUCUCUAAAGUUUUGGGAUGUAUUUGGCUCAACUUGUUUUGACCUUAGAGUAUGAUUGAGCACUGUUUAAAUGCCAUUUGUAUGUAUGUUGAGUGUGUAUUUUCGGAGCUUUAAGAUUAGGGGAGUAAAUUGGGCAAGGGUUUUAUGUUAUAAGUUCUCUCUAAAAAAGGAGGAGGUGGGGGUACUGUAGGCAUCCCAUUUUUGACUGGCCUUAAGACUUAGACACUCUACGAAAAGCUCCUAAUGAUGAAAGCAAAGAUUAGGUCAAACACAACUCGAUGAUGAAGAAAACCAAACAUUCCUACACCCGUUUUGGUCAAAGAGUUUUCCAGACCUUCAAACCUAUUUUGAAACAUUUUUUUAAGGCAAGAGAGACCUUCUCAAGCAUUGUAACCUUUUCUAGCUUUGUGUUUUUUAAAAGUGUCGAUCUAUUUUCAAAGAGACAAGCAUAGGAAGCUGGAAUGAGUGAGAAGAGGGGAAUAUCCUUUUUUAGAACAGUGUGGCCAAACAAAGUAGUGGUCGGUUGAACAUAAGUGUAUUGGUCGGAUUGUUUUCAAGACUGACCAAAAGACAACUUCUGUUUGCAUAAGCACACCCGAAGAGAGAUGAGAGGUUGGCCGGAUUGUACUAUGAGAGGUUGGUCAAUUUGAAGUUGGUCAAUUAUGGGAGGUUGGUCAAUUUGAAGUUGGUCAAUUAUGGAAUGGCCAGGGAUGAGAGGUUAGUCAAUUUCUGACUGAUGGAUAAAUAUGGAACGGCCGUACAAUCUUUUGUCCAACUAAGCACUAUUGAGAAUCACCAAACAACUUCUAAUGAGGUGGUCCCCUAGCAUCUUGGAAUAUGCCGUCUGGAUCUUUGGAGCCCAAAUGGCAUAUUCUAAGCAUCUUGAGCCUAUUUAAACCCUCCCUUGUAGAGAGAUGAGAGGUUGGUCAAUUUGAAAGAUUGUUAAAUCUUGAGGCUGGUCGUUUUUUAACUCUAAGGCAAUCACUCUCUCAAUUCUCUACACUCAUAUACUCAAACACUCAUACACUUGAGGUUUUCUUCAUCUUCUUGGAUUAAAGACUUGAAGAUUUGGAGCUAGCCUUGAUCAUCAGCUUGAGAGAGUUUGGACUAGAGUUUGUGACCAGCUUGGGCCCUAUCACUAUUGGGUUUAAAGGUUACUUGGAUGCCAAAGGUGGUAGACCUCUACGCGCCAGCUCACGACAUCACUGACCAUAGGAUCUUGCUGCAGGGUCCUUUUCUGCUUAGAGUCCUCCUCGUGGUACUUGACGAUAUGAGGUAUGCUAAGGCCUUUUGUCCAGAGGACAUUGUUCCAGCGAUGGAAGGUACUGAUGCGAGAUAGCUCUUAAAGGGAGGCGAUUGCUUUGAGUUUGUUCGAACCAAGCUGAGAGGUCCUCUAAUUGCACAAGUUGCUCUUGCCAUUGUUACUGCUAUUGGAUGAGGCGAGGUGCCCCAAUUGUGGAUCCAAGAUUGCCAAAGGUGCCUACUUCAGUCACCAUUCAAUCUCCCUCUAGCAAGCUUGAGAAUGUAGCAAUCCCAACGCCCUCGACUGUGCCAAUGAGGUUGGCGCUCGACAUCCAUCAGGUUUCCUGUGAGCAUGCUGAGGAUUGCUACCGAAUGAUCAUCGACUUAAUGAUACUGGUACAUUAGUCUGCCUCUGGAGGGCAAGGUCCAUCCCCUCAGCUGCACCUAAAGAUGGGUCUUCUGGCAGUUAGAGAGCAGCCAAAGUGAUUCCUCCUCCUGCCCUGGCUGCUGAUAUAAUGAUGAUUUGGAGGAGAGCAGCGAGACGCGCUCCAGAGAGGUAAAAGGUGACGAAGAGGAUACCCCCAACCCGCACCAAACAGGAUGGUGUAGUGAUUGGCUAGUAGUCAUUGACUACCAAAGGCCUACUAAACGAAAGCAAGUCGAGCUCUUUAAUAUAAUUAGGGCAAAAGUUCUUUUAUAGAGUGCGGAAGCCAUUAUUUGUUUAUGUUGAGUCCAUUUAAAACAUCCCUUCAGAGCAGUGUAUAUCUAUAUGAAAUGAAAGCAUACAUCAUUAUUAUCUUACAUCA